GCUAUUUAGGGUUUUUUUCUUAACUUCUUCAUUUGCUUCUGCCGUUCCAGACACAUUGUAAAUAAAAGCAGUAAGACUCUCAAUGAUUGAUGGAGCUUGGAAUUGGAGUUGGACUUAAUUUUUUGUAUGUACAAGAUUUUAGAAUGGCGACUGAGAUGAAGUGGUGACGACCGAGGUUGAGAUAUGUGGGCUGAUUUUUGGUAUUCUACACAAAAGGGAUCAAAAUGUAGUGAUUGUAAAAAUAUAGGUUGUUAUUGUUAUAUGUAAAAAUAUGAGUUAUUAUUGUAAUUUGUAAAAAGUAUAU